GAGACAGACGACGAAAUGUCUGUUUGCAGCUGUUGUUACAUGGGGAAAAAAAAGAAAAUAGAGAAAAAACCUUUUUUUUUUGGUUCUGUAUUAAAAAAAGAAUUGUGUAAUUGGAGGUUGGGGAGCUGUCGCGAGUAGAGUCGACGGCGAUCCACUGCUCGACGACUCAUAUAAACCAAACCAAACCCUGAAACCCCAAAACCCCAUGUAAAAGCAAAAGAACAUAGGUCCCCUUAACCUUCUUCCUUUGUUCUUCUUCAUGCUCCUUUGAAACGUGGCGUUGCUUCCUCUUCUUUCGUUUUCUUUUUCGACCCUUUCCUCCCUUUCUCUCUGUUUCUUUUGCUGAGUGAUUUGCUCAUUCAUUCAAUUUGGUUGUUCUUGAAUCAGACGACCCACGUUUUCCCAAAGCUUUAAUCUUUUUCCAGCCUUGGCUUUGAUCAAUCAAUUCGCCUCCAUUUCAUCUCCAAGUUUGUUACGAGGGUAAUAUAAAAGCUUUCAUUGUCUAUGAAGACAUUUAAAUCAUGGAAUGCGCUUGUCAAUAAAAGAAAUGCUUUAUCUGACGGGGGAAACUGCGGAUUUAAAAUGAAGCAGCUUCCAUUUAUGGGAGUUAUUUGUACAGUAAUGUUGUUCAUUGUAUAUAGGACCACAAAUUAUCAAUACCAUGAGACAGAGAUGGAAAAAUUGCACCCCUUUGAAACAUUUAAGGAUUAUCAAUUGCCUUAUGGGAAAUUAAAAAGUUUGCCUCAUGGCAUUAUGCACGCUAGCUCGGAUUUGGAACUAAGGCCUCUAUGGUCAAGAAGUUCACGGUCAAAGGUUAAUCUUACCAUGAAUAAGAACUUGCUGGCAAUGCCAGUUGGUAUCAAGCAAAAAGAAAAUGUUGAUGAUGUUGUGCAAAAGUUUCUUGCAGCGAAUUUUACCAUUAUUUUAUUCCAUUAUGACGGCAAUGUGGAUGGAUGGUGGGAUCUUGAUUGGGGUGACAAAGCCAUUCACAUAGUAGCUCAUAACCAAACAAAGUGGUGGUUUGCAAAGCGCUUUCUACAUCCAGAUAUUGUGUCUAAUUAUGACUACAUAUUUCUUUGGGAUGAAGAUUUGGGGGUGGAGCAUUUUGAUCCAAGAAGGUACCUGGAAAUUGUAAAGUCAGAAGGUUUAGAGAUUUCUCAGCCAGCUUUAGACCCAAAUUCAACAGAAAUACACCACAGAAUCACUAUACGCGCAAGAAUGAAGAAGUUUCAUAGGAGAGUCUAUGACCUCAGAGGUAAAACGAAAUGUUCAAAUGCAAGUGAGGGGCCACCAUGCACUGGAUUUGUGGAGGGAAUGGCUCCUGUGUUUUCAAGAUCUGCCUGGUAUUGUGCAUGGCAUCUCAUACAGAAUGAUCUUGUUCAUGGAUGGGGGAUGGAUAUGAAACUUGGGUAUUGUGCGCGGCAUAUUCAGGGUGAUCGCUCAAAGAAGGUGGGCGUGAUUGAUAGUGAGUACAUUGUACAUAAGGGCAUACAAAGUUUGGGCGGGAGUGGGCAUCCCACAACAAGGACAACCAUAAAGUUUGGUGCUUCUAUUUGACACCAACAAAAAGGCAUCUCGUCCUUGGCCAGAGAAAAAAAGAAGCAUAUCUUUCAUCUUAAUUUGCUCGUAUUCCUCACAAGGCUAAUGUUAAUCAUUAACAAGCAUAGAGAAUAUAUUCCUUUAAGGAGUUUCUGUUAAUUGUGUUGAACACCAAGCGAAUAUACUUUUACCUGGUCUCUUGUUUUUAAAUUUUUUACCUAUUUAUCCAAUAUCUAAACCUGAAAGCCAAAAUCCUUGGCCCUAUAUAUUUCAUUCGUCUUUACAAAUUUCUUGGACCAUCCAAAUAUGACCUAAUUUUGUAAAGUAGCAGAUCAUUGGCUUUCAAAGUUCAUCCUAAUUUGUUUCUGAAUUGCUGGAAGCCUUCAUUAUUUCAUCUCAAUUAUGACCUAAUUUUGUAAGUAGCAGAUCAUUGGCUUUCAAAGUUCAUCCUAAUUUGUUUCUGAAUUGUUGGAAACCUUCAUUAUUUCAUCUCAAGUAUUGUUGUUCUACACUGAGUCAUUUCUUAUCUUAUCAUCAAGGUAAAACUAUUUAAGGACAGAUUUCCUGUCAGAUUCAUCCAGUCAGUCAUGGUGCUCUAGAUAUUGUAGUUCACUUGGUUUCUUAAUGGAUUUUCCUGUUUAUAUGCAGAGCAAUGGGGCUUCAGGUUUUGAUCUACGAACUGAGAUUCGGAGACAAUCCACUUGGGAACUUGAAGUCUUUAAAGAGCGAUGGAAUCAAGCUGUGGAAGAGGACAAGAGCUGGGUGGAUCCAUU